GACGAACGCUGGCGGCGUGCCUAAUACAUGCCAGUCGAACGAGAGCGACCGGUGCUUGCACUGGUCAAUCUAGUGGCGAACGGGUGAGUAACACGUGGGUAACCUGCCCAUCAGAGGGGGAUAACAUCCGGAAACGGAUGCUAAAACCGCAUAGGUCUUCGAACCGCAUGGUUUGAAGAGGAAAAGAGGCGCAAGCUUCUGCUGAUGGAUGGACCCGCGGUGCAUUAGCUAGUUGGUGAGGUAACGGCUCACCAAGGCCGUGAUGCAUAGCCGACCUGAGAGGGUGAGCGGCCACAUUGGGACUGAGACACGGCCCAAACUCCUACGGGAGGCAGCAGUAGGGAAUCUUCCGCAAUGGACGCAAGUCUGACGGAGCAACGCCGCGUGAGUGAAGAAGGUUUUCGGAUCGUAAAACCCUGUUGUUAGAGAAGAACAAGUGCUAGAGUAACUGUUAGCGCCUUGACGGUAUCUAACCAGAAAGCCACGGCUAACUACGUG
rnacentral:rRNA from 1 species